rnacentral:rRNA from 1 species
AACGAGCGCUGGCGGCAGGCUUAACACAUGCAAGUCGAGCGCCCCGCAAGGGGAGCGGCAGACGGGUGAGUAACGCGUGGGAAUCUACCCAUCUCUACGGAAUAACGCAUGGAAACGUGUGCUAAUACCGUAUACGUCCUUCGGGAGAAAGAUUUAUCGGAGAGGGAUGAGCCCGCGUUGGAUUAGCUAGUUGGUGGGGUAAAGGCCUACCAAGGCGACGAUCCAUAGCUGGUCUGAGAGGAUGAUCAGCCACACUGGGACUGAGACACGGCCCAGACUCCUACGGGAGGCAGCAGUGGGGAAUAUUGGACAAUGGGCGCAAGCCUGAUCCAGCCAUGCCGCGUGAGUGAUGAAGGCCCUAGGGUUGUAAAGCUCUUUCACCGGUGAAGAUAUGACGGUAACCGGAGAAGAAGCCCCGGCUAACUUCGUGCCAGCCGCCGCGGUAAGAC